rnacentral:rRNA from 1 species
UACGUAGGGGGCAAGCGUUAUCCGGAUUCACUGGGUGUAAAGGGUGCGUAGGUGGCAAUGUAAGUCAGAUGUGAAAUUUUGGGGCUCAACCUCAAAGCUGCAUCUGAAACUGCGUAGCUAGAGUGCAGGAGAGGAAAGCGGAAUUCCGAGUGUAGCGGUGAAAUGCGUAGAGAUUCGGAGGAACACCAGUAGCGAAGGUGGCUUUCUGGACUGUAACUGACACUGAGGCACGAAAGCGUGGGGAGCAAACAGG